rnacentral:rRNA from 1 species
UACGGGGGGGGGUAAGCGUUGUUCGGAAUUACUGGGCGUAAAGGGCUCGUAGGCGGCCAACUAAGUCAGACGUGAAAUCCCUCAGCUUAACUGGGGAACUGCGUCUGAUACUGGAUGGCUUGGAUUUGGGAGAGGAAUGCGGAAUUCCAGGUGUAGCGGUGAAAUGCGUAGAUAUCUGGAGGAACACCGGUGGCGAAGGCGGCAUUCUGGACCAAUAUUGACGCUGAGGAGCGAAAGCCAGGGGAGCAAAGCGGG